rnacentral:rRNA from 1 species
GACGAACGCUGGCGGCGUGCUUAACACAUGCAAGUCGAACGGAAAGGCCCUGCUUUUGUGGGGUGCUCGAGUGGCGAACGGGUGAGUAACACGUGAGUAACCUGCCCUUGACUUUGGGAUAACUUCAGGAAACUGGGGCUAAUACCGGAUAGGAGCUCCUGCUGCAUGGUGGGGGUUGGAAAGUUUCGGCGGUUGGGGAUGGACUCGCGGCUAUCAGCCUGUUGGUGGGGUAGUGGCUUACCAAGGCUUUGACGGGUAGCCGGCCUGAGAGGGUGACCGGCCACAUUGGGACUGAGAUACGGCCCAGACUCCUACGGGAGGCAGCAGUGGGGAAUAUUGCACAAUGGGCGGAAGCCUGAUGCAGCAACGCCGCGUGCGGGAUGACGGCCUUCGGGUUGUAAACCGCUUUCGCCUGUGACGAAGCGUGAGUGACGGUAAUGGGUAAAGAAGCACCGGCUAACUACGUG